rnacentral:lncRNA from 1 species
UGUCUUCUUACGUAAGAAUCAAUAAUUUAUGCAAGACCGUGUGCUACUGUGCAACACCGCGUAUUACCGUAUUUUAACCACCGAGUAUUCUAACAGUGUUAACGGUAACAACUACGCUGUUAUUUAUAAAAAAAACUCAUAUUUGUCAUUUUCUUCAUUCAAUCGUUUUCCAUAAUGGGGCCCACAAAAGGCUGCGUCGUCGUACAAAUAUUCUCCGACAACAAGAAUAUUCCACGACCAAACGAAUAUUCCCCGACUGCAAUGAAUAUUCUAGAACAGGACUCCAGCCCAAAAAACUCGGAUACCCGAACCCGAACACCUUCAAUAUCCUUAACGGCUUCGGCCCAUUGGGC